rnacentral:rRNA from 1 species
AACGAACGCUGGCGGCAGGCUUAACACAUGCAAGUCGAGCGCCCCGCAAGGGGAGCGGCAGACGGGUGAGUAACGCGUGGGAACGUACCCUUUGCUACGGAAUAGCUCCGGGAAACUGGAAUUAAUACCGUAUGUGCCCUACGGGGGAAAGAUUUAUCGGCAAAGGAUCGGCCCGCGUUGGAUUAGCUAGUUGGUGGGGUAAUGGCCUACCAAGGCGACGAUCCAUAGCUGGUCUGAGAGGAUGAUCAGCCACAUUGGGACUGAGACACGGCCCAAACUCCUGCGGGCGGCAGCAGUGGGGAAUAUUGGGCAAGGGGCGCAAGCCUGAUCCAGCCAUGCCGCGUGAGUGGUGAAGGCCUUAGGGUUGUAAAGCUCUUUCACCGGAGAAGAUAAUGACGGUAUCCGGAGAAGAAGCCCCGGCUAACUUCGUGCCAGCAGCCGCGGUAAAAC